rnacentral:sRNA from 1 species
AAGUGAAGACCUGACUCUAAAAGAGAUAUAAUGUGUUUCAGGCACCUCUGGGGUGGCAUCUGGCACAACAGUUUCCCCUGGAAGUUUCAGCACAGCCACAAUUUCUCCUGGAGCAAGUAGAACGACUGGGGCUGGACCCACUACAGAAACUACAACUUCCCUAGGAGGAGGUGGCACCAUUGGAGCAGAAAUAAAAUCAGGAGCCACCUCCGGAGCACCAGGAAGUAAGACAGGCACAGCUGCAGUGCCCUCUGCUACAACAGUUGCCCCUGGGAGCUCCAACUCAGAGGCCACGACUUCUUUAGGAGAUAGUGGAAAAACAAGAACUGAAACAAUCACAGGUGCUACUGAGGGUAAAACUCUGGCAGCUGGAAGUGCCCACACAGAGGCCACAACUUUCUCAGGAGGCAGCGGGACCACCCGAGCAAGACCACCGGGAGGCACUUCUGGCACAUCAGGAGGAUAUGUCCCUGGAAGGGAAACAGAGCCCACAACUUCCAUUAAAGAAACUGGAACUUCCAGAACUAUAUUCAAAACUGUAGGCAU